CAUUGCUCCAGGCUUCUGCUGUAUGCGGCUGGAGGAAGAAUAAGCCCAAGGAACCGAAAUAGGGGGGGUGUCAACCUGAGGCCUUUAUUACUGUAUGACACACCAGGGGGGACACAUGUGAAACGGACAGUACUCUGUGCUCUCCUGAGUCCUUCACCCCAGCCUUAGAGACUCCUAGCGGAUGCACAUGAUCACCAAGGUGACAGAACACAUGGCAACCGAGCUGCUCCCAAAAGACAGCCCCACCCUGCUGAGCCAAGUCGCUCUUCCUCUCUGGGGGAGAUGCCCUGAUUACUGAGUGACUGUGUGCUGAAGUUGAGGGCCCUCUCAAGCUGUUGGGAUUGUUUGUGCGAUAAUGAUAAGGGGUUGCGAGUAAUCAGAGAUGGAGAGGCAGGAAACAGCAAGCUCAGAUCACUGCACCACUGCAGUCUCUGGCCCAUCCAGGCAGGGGUCUGGCCCCAUCAUGCAUGUCUGCAGCAACUACAGCACCACCAAGGCCACAGCAAAUUCAUCGCACUCCAAUCGUGCCCUUUGAAAGAUCAGUCUUGAAUAUUUAUACACAUCAGUGCAGAAAGGUGGAUUAGUCUAAUGUCUUUUGGUGUGCAUUUGUGUCUGUCCAGAGAGCCUUCUCUAACCCAUUUGCAUGCGCAUAAGUAGUGAGUAGGAGUGAGGAGCCAACAAACUAGCUGUAAUACUGCCAUCAAAUUUUCAUUGGGCUAUGGGGAGACCCUAACAUGUUAAAUAAUGAGGAGCCCAUAAACUUAAUGUUCAGAACCUCUCCACAACUGCUGACAGUGUCUAGUUAUGACUCGAUACGUAGGCAGAAUUAUGAGGAGAUAAUCCUUCUUCAGAGUGCUCCUUAUUUUUAUACAUCUGGUUCUUAAACACCCACCCCCCAAAUAUUCUUUGUGCAUCACUUCAAGGAUGCUUUAGUAUCUGAGUACCACAGAAUAGACACUUCUUCUGUACAGCUUGUUUACCUACAAUGUACAGUGUAUCUGUCUCAGGUUUUCGGGUUGUUUUUCCUGAAAUAUGGG